AGUCACUGACAUUAGAUACCCGGUAGUCCAGGGUGUAAACGCUGCAGACUUGGUGUUGGAAGCCCGUUUGGGGGCAUUCAGUGCCGGAGAGAAGUUGUUAAGUCUGCUACGUUGGGGAGUACGUCCGCAAGGAUAGAAACUUAAAGGAAUUGGCGGGGGAGCACCGCAACGGGAGGAGCGUGCGGUUUAAUUGGAUUCAACACCGUAAACUCACCAGGGAAGACUGUUACAUGAAGGCCGAGAUGAAGACUCAGCUAGAUUUUCAG
rnacentral:rRNA from 1 species